rnacentral:rRNA from 1 species
GACGAACGCUGGCGGCGUGCUUAACACAUGCAAGUCGAACGGAAAGGCCCUGCUUGCAGGGUACUCGAGUGGCGAACGGGUGAGUAACACGUGGGUGAUCUGCCCUGCACUUCGGGAUAAGCCUGGGAAACUGGGUCUAAUACCGGAUAGGAGCCAUUUUUAGUGUGAUGGUUGGAAAGUUUUUUCGGUGUAGGAUGAGCUCGCGGCCUAUCAGCUUGUUGGUGGGGUAAUGGCCUACCAAGGCGGCGACGGGUAGCCGGCCUGAGAGGGUGGACGGCCACAUUGGGACUGAGAUACGGCCCAGACUCCUACGGGAGGCAGCAGUGGGGAAUAUUGCACAAUGGGCGCAAGCAUGAUGCAGCGACGCCGCGUGGGGGAUGACGGCCUUCGGGUUGUAAACUCCUUUCGCUAGGGACGAAGCUUUUUGUGACGGUACCUAGAUAAGAAGCACCGGCUAACUACGUG